AGUGAACGCUGGCGGUAGGCCUAACACAUGCAAGUCGAACGGCAGCACAGGAGAGCUUGCUCUCUGGGUGGCGAGUGGCGGACGGGUGAGGAAUACAUCGGAAUCUACUUUUUCGUGGGGGAUAACGUAGGGAAACUUACGCUAAUACCGCAUACGACCUACGGGUGAAAGCAGGGGACCUUCGGGCCUUGCGCGAUUGAAUGAGCCGAUGUCGGAUUAGCUAGUUGGCGGGGUAAAGGCCCACCAAGGCGACGAUCCGUAGCUGGUCUGAGGGGAGGAUCUGCCACACUGGAGCUGGGAAACGGUCCAGACUCCUACGGGAGGCAGGAGUGGGGAAUAUUGGACAAUGGGGGCAAGCCUGAUCCAGCCAUACCGCGUGGGUGAAGAAGGCCUUCGGGUUGUAAAGCCCUUUUGUUGGGAAAGAAAUCCAGCUGGCUAAUACCCGGUUGGGAUGACGGUACCCAAAGAAUAAGCACCGGCUAACUUCGUGCCAGCCGCCGCCGUAA
rnacentral:rRNA from 1 species